AAUGAUUGUAAGGUGUACAUGUCUAGCGGGCAGAUGUCAUCUGACCUUGACCUCAUUUUCAUGGUUCAGUGGUUAUAGUUAAGUUUUUGUGUUUUGGUCUGUUUUUCUCAUACUUUAUGCAAUAGGUUUACUAUAUUUGUUGUAUGGAAUGAUUGUAAUGUGUACAUGUCUAGCGGGCAGAUGUCAUCUGACCUUGACCUCAUUUUCAUGGUUCAGUGGUCAAAGUUAAGUUUUUGAGUUUUGGUCUUUUUAUCUAAUACUUUAUGUCAUAGGUCAACUAUAUUUGGUGUAUUGAAAUAUUUUAUGAUCUAUAUGUCAGUCGUGCAGGUUUUAUUUGACCUUGACCUGGUUUUCAC
rnacentral:lncRNA from 1 species